GAAACUGGAAGGCAGCGACGCCGCGUGAACGAAGAAGGCUUUGGGAGUCGUAAAGUUCUGUCCUAAGAGAAGAAGAAGUGACGGUACCUUAGGAGGAAGCACCGUCUAACUACGUCCCAGCAGCCGCGGUAAUACGUAGGGGGCGAGCGUUGUCCGGAAUCACUGGGCGUAAAGGGCGAGUAGGUGGUCCUUAAAGUCAGAUGUAAAAGCCAUUGGCUCAACCGGUGAAAGCAUUUGAAAACUAAUGUCUUGAAGUCUGGAGGAGUAAAGGGAAUUCCCAGGGGUGCGGUGAAAAGCGUAGAUUUUAGGGAGGACCCCCGUGGGGGAGGGGGUUCACUGGGCUGUAACUGACCCUGAGUCACGAAAGCGUGGGGAGCCAACCAGAUUAGAUCCCCUGGUAGUUC
rnacentral:rRNA from 1 species